UACGAAGGGGGCUAGCGUUGCUCGGAAUCACUGGGCGUAAAGGGUGCGUAGGCGGGUCUUUUAAGUCAGGGGUGAAAUCCUGGAGCUCAACUCCAGAACUGCCUUUGAUACUGAGGAUCUUGAGUUCGGGAGAGGUGAGUGGAACUGCGAGUGUAGAGGUGAAAUUCGUAGAUAUUCGCAAGAACACCAGUGGCGAAGGCGGCUCACUGGCCCGAUACUGACGCUGAGGCACGAAAGCGUGGGGAGCAACAGG
rnacentral:rRNA from 1 species